rnacentral:rRNA from 1 species
GAGUUCGAAGGUUGGCUCAGCACGGUUGGCAAUCGUGCGUAGAGCGCAAGGGUAUAAGCCAGCCUUACUGCAAGACCGACGGGUCGAGCAGUUGCGAAAGCAGGACCUAGUGAUCCAGCGGUGGAAUGUGGAAUCGCCGUUGCUCAUCGGACAAAAGGUACUCCGGGGAUAACAGGCUGAUCGCGCCCAAGCGUCCAUAGCGACGGCGCGGUUUGGCACCUCGAUGUCGGCUCAUCGCAUCCUGGGGCUGAAGAAGGUCCCAAGGGUUCGGCUGUUCGCCGAUUAAAGCGGUACGCGAGCUGGGUUCAGAACGUCGUGAGACAGUUCGGUCCUUAUCCACUGUGGGCGCAGGAGACUUGACAGGAGCAUUCCCUAGUACGAGAGGACCAGGAAUGAGCGGCCGCCGGUGUUCCGGUUGUCCCGCCUUGGGGCAGUGCCGGGUAGCUGUGCCGCGACAGGAUAAGCGCUGAAAGCAUCUAAGCGCCAAGCCUACCUGAAGACUAGGUCUCCCACGUCGCAAGACGUCUUAAGGCUCCCGGAAGACUACCGGGUAGAUAGGCCGGAAGUGUAAGAUCGGUAACGAUUUCAGCUAACCGGUACUAAUCAGCCGUGAGGCUUGACCACCUUUUUC